rnacentral:misc_RNA from 1 species
CGGCAGAAAAAAAAAAACCAAACUUAAAUACAAAUGAAAAAAUUGAUAGGUAAUUACAGUAUUUAUAACAAAAUAAAACAAAAGAUAUUUUCUCCCUUCUUUUGCUUCUUUUUUUCUUUUUUCUACUUCAAUUCCAAGCAAUUUUUGUCCUUCCUUGCCCAUUUUAUGUUUUAUCAUAAAGCCCUCCUAAUAACAUGCUUUUUUUUCAUUUUUUUAUCUUCACAAUUUCCUCAAGUAUACAAAUUUUAAUGACAACUAGCAAAAGCAAAUGACCCCAUUGUACCACAUACUACUUCCAUCAACUUUCCUCUUCUUGGUUUAGCAACAACUUUAGCAUCACCACCAACAAGCGGAGCAGAUUUUGGCGCCACCUUAAUAUCCUCCACCGGAAAAAGAACUCCGUCAAUCCCCUGAACGGAAAUUCUCCCGUCGGUAUAAAUAUCGGGAUCAAUCAAAUACGCCGAUCCUUCUUCGAACCCGAAUUUCACAGAUCCAUCAGCUUCUUCAGCAACAACUUUAUGUGGCAAUCUUAAUGUAUCAUAUUUCAAUUUCCCAAAUCUUCGUACUGAAUUAUACAUACUUUCUUCCGUUUGAUACUCCGGUAUCAAAUGGUAAUACAUUAUCUGUUCAGGCGCCCCAGGCUCGCUAAGCUGAUCAGUUGUCAGCUUAGCCAUAGCCUCGUCAUUGGGCGCCAGAACAGUUAAAACAUAGCCUUCAGAGACCAAUUUCCCCAUUUCUGUAGCUAAUGAUGUGAGAUUCACAAGAAUGUCUGCUAAUUCAUUGUAACCACCAUAAUGUAGUAGUGUUUGAAUGAAAUCUUUUACUUGACUCUCACCAUCGAAAUGAUGGUGGGGUCCUCCGGGUCCUGGAGCUGGUGCCGGGGCCAGAGAUGGCCCCGGCGCCAAAGCAUCAUAUACCGGCAGCACAGGUGGUGCACCGGCAGGUACUGAUACGGGUUUCUUCAACCGGUGGGUUCUCGGGUCAACUUCUGGUGCUCCUUCCGGUAGCACGGCGGAGAUUGACCGGAGACUACGGCGGUUGUUGAAAUCUUGCUGGACUGAUUUGGGUAUUAAAACCCGCUCAAUACCGUGGAUGAUUCCGUCGGGUUUAACGAUAUCGUCUUGUUUAAUAAUCUUAGCUGAGCUGACUGAUUUCUCUGUUUUCUUAUCGGAGAUUUGAAGGACGUUUUCUUCUCCGGCGUAUAAAGUGGAGUGAACACGGCCACGCACCGGCCAAUUUUUGGAGACAAUGCGAGUGGGAAUCAUGUGAAACAACAAGAGAUUCUGUAGAGAUUUAAGAUUACCAGGUUCAAGCAAGAAACGCUUGAAUUCAGGGUCUAAAUCGCGUUCCAGAGCUUCAUUUUUAGGAGCAAAAAUGGUGAUAUUGUGCUUAGAAACAGCUUCUUCAAGUGUUUGAAGCAAAAGGGCUUUUUCAACAAGCUCAGACAACUCAGUAUAGUGAGAAUCCAAAAGGGCAACAAGAAUGGAGUUGGAAUUGAUUUGGGGUACUGUUGAAAUUGGGGAUUUUGGGUUUUCUUGAAAUGCGGCACUUGUAAUGGUGAAAAAGAGUGUAAUGGUGAACAAAAAGAGAUUAGUGAAGCCAUAGAUCUGAAAAUCCAUGGCUAAAGAUUGAAGCUUUCUCUCUCAAUUCUCUCUGUUUUCUCUCUCUUGUUCUUGGAGAGUGUCGGUAGAACAACGUGUUAUGUUGGGUUGAGUGAAUUUGUGGGUGUUAUGGACUUUGGCUUUGUUGUUAGUAAAGAAGGGGGGGAUGAAAUUAAGGAUGAGGGUG